AGUCCCAUCAGCCAACAUAAGGCUAGGUAGAAGGACACCACAGUCCCAACAGCCAACACAAGGCUAGGUAGAAGGACACCACAGUCCCAACAGCCAACAUAAGGCUAGGUAGAAGGACACCUCAGUUCCAUCAGCCAACAUAAGGCUAGGUAGAAGGACACCUCAGUCCCAUCAGCCAACAUAAGGCUAGGUAGAAGGACACCUCAGUCCCAACAGCCAACAUAAGGCUAGGUAGAAGGACACCUCAGUCCCAUCAGCCAACUCAAGGCUAGGUAGAAGGACACCUCAGUCCCAUCAGCCAACAUAAGGCUAGGUAGAAGGACACCUCAGUCCCAUCAGCCAACUCAAGGCUAGGUAGAAGGACACCUCAGUCCCAUCAGCCAACAUAAGGCUAGGUAGAAGGAC
ensembl:lncRNA